rnacentral:rRNA from 1 species
GAUGAACGCUAGCGGCAGGCUUAACACAUGCAAGUCGAGGGGUAUUGGUUUUCGGACCAAGAGACCGGCGCACGGGUGCGUAACGCGUAUGCAAUCUACCUUUUGCAGAGGGAUAGCCCCAGAGAAAUUUGGAUUAAUACCUCAUAGUAUAGUACUUUGGCAUCAAGGAACUAUUAAAGUCACAACGGCAAAGAUGAGCAUGCGUCCCAUUAGCUAGUUGGUAAGGUAACGGCUUACCAAGGCUACGAUGGGUAGGGUUCUGAGAGGGAGAUCCCCCCACACUGGCACUGAGACACGGACCAGACUCCUACGGGAGCAGCAGUGAGGAAUAUUGGACAAUGGGCGCAAGCCUGAUCCAGCCAUGCCGCGUGCAGGAUGACGGUCCUA